UAUAUCAUAAAGUGAUUUCUGUAAAUGGUACUGAGAACUACAGUACGUACAUUUAUGAAAAAUGAAUUAAUUAAUGUGAUAGUUAAAUGGAAGAAGAGGAGAGGUAAACAGGGUUAACCACUUGUCAUUGUUCGCCUCAUCUAUAAUGCACCUUUGUUUCGCUCUUUUUCUCUCUCCUUCACUCACUCACUCACUCACUCACUCGCUUCUGUCUUCUCUUAUGGUGAAAUUCUCGUUGCUUUCUCUUCAUUUUCUCGAUUCUCGUAAUUCGCAAGCCCAAUGUCUUCCGCCACCGAUAACCAUAUCCACGAAAACAACCACCACAACGGUUCUCGCAUAGCCAAAAAACCCAAACUCUCCUCAUCCGUUAUAACGGCCUCGGAAAUCGAAACGGAAUUUGGCCACCACGAUACCUCCGUCGCGCGCAUCAAUAACGGCAGUUUCGGUUGCUGCCCCGCCUUCAUCAUCGCCGCGCAGCACCGCUGGCAGCUCCGGUACCUCCGCCAGCCCGACCACUUCUACUUCAAUGACCUCAAAACCGGCAUCCUCCAAUCGCGAACCCUAAUCAAGGACCUCGUCAACGCCGACCACGUCGAUGAGAUCUCCAUUGUCGACAACGCCACCACCGCUGCCGCCAUCGUCCUCCAGCAUACCGCAUGGAACUUCCGCGAAGGAAGAUUCCAGAAAGGUGAUGUCGUCCUCAUGCUUCACUACGCUUACGGUGCCGUCAAGAAAUCCAUGGAAGCGUACGUCACUCGCGCCGGAGGCAAUGUUGUCGAGGUUCCCCUCCCUUUCCCUGUUAACUCCAACGAUGAGAUCGUUUCCGAGUUUAGGAAGGCCUUGGAGAGAGGAAAAAGUAACGGAAAUAGGGUUAGAUUAGCGGUGAUUGAUCAUGUGACUUCCAUGCCGUGUGUGGUUAUUCCUGUCAAGGAGUUGAUUCAAAUUUGCAGGGAGGAAGGGGUGGACCAGGUUUUUGUUGACGCCGCUCAUUCCAUUGGAUGCACUGAUGUUGACAUGAAGGAAAUUGGUGCUGAUUUUUACACUAGCAAUUUGCAUAAGUGGUUCUUUUGUCCACCUUCAAUUGCGUUUUUGUAUACUCGUAGGAACCCUAAGGGUUCUGGUUCUGAUUUACAUCACCCUGUGGUGUCUCAUGAGUAUGGCAAUGGCUUGGCUGUGGAGAGUGCUUGGAUUGGGACCAGGGAUUAUAGUGCACAGUUGGUUGUUCCUGCUGCGAUGGAGUUUGUUAACCGGUUUGAAGGGGGUAUUGAGGGGAUCAAGAAGAGGAAUCACGAGGCUGUUGUGGAGAUGGGGGAGAUGUUGGCAAAGGCAUGGGGUACUCGGCUCGGGAGUCCGGCGCAUAUGUGUGCUAGCAUGGUUAUGGUUGGUUUGCCUGUUUGUUUGGGGAUUGGAAGUGAUUCUGAUGCUCUCGAGUUGAGAACACAUUUGAGGGAUGCUUUUGGAGUUGAGGUUCCGCUAUAUUAUCGGCCCCCAAGAGAGGGGGAAGUUGGGGUGAUUACUGGGUAUGCCAGAAUUUCUCAUCAAGUGUAUAACAAAGUUGAUGACUAUUACAAGUUCAGAGAUGCGAUUAACCAACUUGUGCAAAAUGGGUUCACGUGUGCUGAUCUUUCGGGUUGAAGAGGUUUGGUCUAACCUCCUUUGAAUGCAUCACUGCGGUUUGGUUUAUAGUUUAUUUGUUGGAGGAGUAGCGGUGCUGGUAUAACUGGAUUCACAUUGAUUUACACAAAUAUUGGAAAAUUUCAACAUCUUAUUCAAAUCAUCAAAGGUUGAGAGGUGUCACUGUUGUCUUUCUGACGAAUAAAAGCUGCUUGCAAGCUUGACUAGUUGUGAUGGUUUCGGUGCCAUAUAGACUGCAGGUUUUGCUAAGAAGCUACAGUAAUUGCUCAUUUUAGCUUUGCUGUGAAAAAUUCCUUAGGAGUAGCUUCAAUGUCGAUAUCGAUGGAAAUAUCCUUGUGUAUAAUCAUGAUCCUGUGAAGAUUUAAGAAACUUCCUGAGUCUAUAUAAAACUUUUCCAUAAUCUUUAAGUU